GAACGAGCCCGCGGGACAGAGGCGGCUGCCAUCACCGACCGAGGAGUGCGCAUCGGACGACGCCUGCGACGAUCCACGGCAGGUAAAUUCGGGGCGCGCUGCGCCGGCGACGGCAACGGCGUCCGCGCUGCGAUAGCUGCGGCGGCGGCGGCGAUGGCGACGACACGACGAGGUGGCGCAUUGCGGCGAGCACACGCGACAAACAAGUGGUCGUCGCGCCGUGUCUCUCCACGGCCGCCGCCACCGUUGCCGUCGCAGUAAGUAUACGCGCGCGAUGUACACACACUCGCGCACGCACGUACACUUUCGAAAAAUGUCCGCGCGUAUACGUACCGCCGCCGUGCCGCGGAGUACGUACGGAUAAUACGGCCACCGCCGCGGACAUGCAUUGAUUUUGACACGCGCGCGCACGCACGCCCAUCGCACAUGCUACGGCGAUAAUUAUGGUCAUUGUACAGGGCGCGCGCCCGCCCGCGCGCGCGCGCGUUGUGUGUGUGUUUGUGUGUGUGUGUGUGUGUGUGUGUGUGUGUGCGUGUGCGCGCGUGUGGUGCGGGGGUGAUUGUGCGGGUGACGGCGGAUGAGCCGCGAACUUUUGAGAUGUUCUCGGGCCGUCGCGACGUCUCGUCGCGGUCGCGUUUCGCGCGGCCGGCCGCAGGGCGGAACCGGACGUCCGUGACGCGGCGGUGCGCCCUACGCCCCCGCGCCUAAUGCGCCCUUGUCCAUUCCCUCGUCACGGCGAUGGCGCAUAUUAUAUUAUCGUCGUACCCAGGUACGUCACGACGACGACGAGGCGGGUUCACCAUCAUUGAUGCCGUCGUGCACACAUUUUACGUUACGGGGCAUUAUUGUUAUUCCGUUACAGUGCCUGCAUUCGUAGUUUGUAAUUGCAUUAUUAUUUUAACGCGUGUAACGAACGUUCCCGUGCCAGGUGCGAAACGCGAGACCAGAGCCGACGGGGACGAAAAAACCGAAAUCGUAUUAUGAACUUCUGCGACAAAAGAACUCGCGUGCGUUCCGCCGCCGCUACACAGAGUAGUCGACUUUUCCGCGACCGAUGCCGCGCAAUAGAAAUUCGAACCUUUCCGAAAGGGCGCCGCGCGUUUUCCACGCGAACGAAAUAACUCGUACGAAAUAUCACCCCACCCACCCCCCCCUCCGUUAGGGUGUCUGUGUGUAAAACGCCGAAAAUCCUAUUGAAACUCUACCCGACUUCCGACGACACUUAAACCCACUCGAUAAAACGCGAUCGAGUUUGAGCUCGUUCGGCGCUCAAGACGACGGCGAAACCGCUACAGAAGAUAUUAUUAACGCGAUACGACACGGUAGUGGCAGUUUUUACAGGGGGAGUUUAAUGGAGUUUGAAGAAAAACGAAACCCAGGAGACCCGCGCGAUGAAAUUUCGUUUUCGCCGAUGCGUCGCGCGAACGUACGUGAAAUCGUACUGAACCGGCGGCGUGGCCGGACACCCGGGGCCCGCGAGCCGUUUUCGUUUUAUCUCGGCCUUCGGAAAACGAUUUCGUUUUUCAAGGUUACAAUGUCGGGGCUCGCGAACCUUAUAAAAAGCUCGGGCCACGCCGGUACGUACCGUGCAACAGCGACAAUAUGUAACCGUUGCCGCUAUCGUUCGUAAUUAUUAUCGUACAACACGUAAUUGUCACGGGGUACAUUCGUUAGCGCGACGGAUACGAAAAAAACGCGGCGAAAAAGUCCAUGCGAGGAUUCGGGUAGUCGUCCCGCAGCGAAACGCCGUCACCGCCGCAGCCACCGCCACCGUCGCGCCGCGGCGAUUUUCUCAAUCAACGGCCGUGCGCGACGUGACUUUUCGAGGUCGACCGCCACCGCCCGACGUAUUUCCGCGUAAACUCUCCUCUUAGACUCGUUUAAAUAUUCCAGCAGUUUGCUAUAUGCAUGUGUUGUGGUAUAAAAUUUAUUUUCGCCUGCCGCGCUCGCACCCGGCAAUAAACUUCGGGGUUUGAAGUUUAAUUUUUCGGUUCGGAUCGAUAUCCCCGGACGGAAACGUCGAGAUUAUCCGUUUCGGUAAACCGCUUUUGUCGGGCGGUAUCGCACGAGCAUCGACGAAGGAAAAUAUAAUUUCUACGGUCGGAUUUAAAUUUUUAGAUAUAACGAAAACGGAGCUAUUAUUAUGUUUUAUUUUUACGGUUAGAUUUCCAGACGCUUUCUAGUAUCUUAUAUAAUGCAAUAUAACGUUCGCUCAUCAAAUUUCUAAAUUUCCAGCCAGUUUUUCUAUAAAAUCUAAAUUAGCUCGCAACAAAUGUCCACGUAUGGGAUUUGGUUGUUGUUGGUUUCUACUCCGUAUUGAUCGCGAGAGAAAAACACGACUAAUUUAAUCGUUCUACUAACACUUCUCCGAUCAGAACAGUUUUACGAUUCGUCGUUGCGUUCAGCAUACAAAUUACAUUACUCUGUAUCCAAUAAUUUUCGCAUUCAGUAUUCACUACGGUCUUUCCAUUUAUCUAUUUAUUUGAUCAAGUUUUAUUAAUAAAAUGUUUUGAAAAUAUAUCUGUAUUGACUCCUUGAGCCGUGACUCCUCGAAAACAUAGGUGACACGUCUCUGGGUAAAAAUUUGCACGAAAACGAACACGUGUCAAUAAAUCGAAUGAUGUUCAUUUUACGAGAAAAAAUUCAGCGAAACGUAGGGAAACUGCGAAUGUUUUCGGCGUUACUGAUUUGACAAUUUUCGGUGUUGUUUUUUGUUGGUAAACAAACAAAAAAAUGUAUUUGUAUUCAGUUUUAAAGUUAUUUUUUUUUAUGUAUACACAUAAUUUUUGAGUAACUCGAGACUAACCUUAUUCGGUUAGUAAAAACGCUCUAAAACUUUCGUACCCUUCUUAAAAUCGAUGCGCAUAUAUUCCGAUCCCGGCGGUUGUUUAUGCAAAGCAUUUUAGUAUAGAUUCCCUACAGUUUUUCUAAAAAAAAAAUUUUGAGAAAAUAACGGCGAUAAUAUUAAUGAUGAUACGUCAGUUUUCGUAUCCAUUAUUCACCUGCAGAGAACACAGAAAUCUGAAAUUUAUUGAACCUAUACUUGCUUUAAUUUACAAAACUCGUGUGAGUUUCUCGUAUCCUUGCAAUAUAAAUUGCAUCCCCGUUUUCUUAAGUCAUGAUGAUAUUCACGUGAAAAUACUGUAUUCUCGUGUAGUUAGGUUCAUGGUUUUUUUAGUCUCAGAGCGUAUUUCAAUUUCAAUUUUUAUUAUAAAAUAAUCGUUAACAGUAUUUAAUUGGUCGAGCUACUUAUUUCCGGCGUUAUAAUUUAAUUAUUAUUUUUUUCUUUUAUUUUUAUUCAUUUAACUAGUUGAGAGUUACCGAGAGAUUUGCCUAUAACCCUGCCAUAAUAACUUGACUUUUAACCGUUUUACAAUUAGUUACCGCCCGGCGUUGCGUAUCUCGUCGGCGUUUUAUUUCCGUUUUUUUUUUAUUAUUACGGAAUUGUCGUAUUCACAGCGCGAAACUUGAUAAUAUUAUUGUGUACGACACGCGCGUCCGAGGCACACGUAUAGGGGAGCGGUCGCACGAGAAACGCAAUAUCAUCGAGGACUUUGCGGGCACGAGUUUGAUUUGACUACCGCCGCCGCCGGUGCCGCACCAGACCCUCUUUUUCUUUUUUUCCUUUUACCUCCCCCGAAACGUUUCCUGCGCGAAAGGCACGUUCGCACCGGGGCCGCUGCAACAAUGCGGCUACGUGAAUCAACACGCUGCCGCCCCGCCGAGACCGAAAUAAAAUAUAAAAUAUCCCUCCGCGUUUAAUAAUACGUGUACUACUCGUAUAUAUUUCGCCGGCGAUGUUUAAAUUUUAUCGAGCAUUAUUUUUUUCGCGAACGGAAUAAACCCGCCGAGCUCGCACCGCUGUACGCGUAGUCGUGCACAAGUGGUCCGAAUUUAAAUUUCAGCGAAUAUCGUAACGAUUCUGAACGGAGUUUAGCGGACUGUUGAGGUUAUGUUAUAGUAUGCGUCGCGGUGUCGCCCUCUGGUUUCUAGUAAAGCCAACGUAAAAUAGAAAUCGAACAUCGGAAAUUUAAAGUUUUCCUAAAAAAGCCUUUGAUGGAAAUUUUUUUUUUUCUUUAUAGUUCGACGUGAUGAAAUUGGAAAAUGUUAACUCAUUCAAUAAGUAAUUCCGGAGGAGUGGAAAAACGCACGUGUUAGCUACGUUCAGAAUCCAAAACUAAACUAUAACAACACGUUAUUGAUUCGGAUUUAAAUAUCUUAUUAUCUUAUUAAUUAUAAACGAUUAUACCGUUUCGUUUGCUCUCGUACACAAUCGUUAUUCCAUUGAGUCAUAUAGACAAAUAACACUAUGAGGGUGUACCAUUAGGCAUUAUAAUAUUUUUUAACGUACGAGUUUAGUGGAGUUAGUAAAAAUUACACGUUUUCUAGUGGAUCACUAAACUUAUGUUUUGUGUUUUUUCUCAGUUUCGACAUUUAGUUGGAUUUUUUCACAACCGUCCGUGAAACUCGCCUGAGUCAUUAUAAAAUAACCGUUUUUAGUUACGCGAAGUCGAGAAUUUACUUUUUACGCGCGCGUUCCCGGAACGCGCUGUCCAGUCCGGAAGAAAUGGGUUUCAAACUAAAAGCAUUUCUCGAAUUAAUCUUUAUUAUUCAUUAUUUUUUAAGACUUCGAAAAAACAAAAAAAAUAAUAAGAAAUAAAACCGACUGCUGUAAAUAAACGUAAAUUACUAGUAGUUUCACCGAGUUUUUUUUUUCGAUACGAUUUUUGUUUUUUGUACACUGCAGAGCGGCGAUAAUACGCGAUCAAUUUUCCAAUCGAAUUAAAACCGUUUCGCCUUUAAAUGUACCGAAAAAUGUACUCGAUAUAUAAAACACGGAAAACAAUAAUAAAAUUGCACAAACCGUUUCCGUCUGUACUGUAUUCUACACGGGUACGAUAUUAUAAUGGCGUUGUAUUAGCCUUGAACUUUUAACGCAAAGGUCACGUUAAAAACGUAUAACAUUAUAUAAUACGGGCGGCCGACUGCGACGGAAACGACGACCGGCGGAAAAAUAAUAAUAUUUUCGUCGAUCGCCGUUGACGUUUUCGCCGUAAAUCUCGACGCGACGCUCGCGUUGAUCGCUACCCCGUAUCGUGACGUCAUCGCGCCGUCAUUCGAUAUAUUCGCCGAAGACUUCUGCCGCCGUUUGUUGUGUAAACAGAGAGAGAGAGAGAGAGAGAGAGAGAAAAUAAUAUUUCCGUAGAAUUUUCCCCGAAAAUAUAUUAUUGCGCCGUACUGUGUACACCGGCACAGUAUCCGUACAGUUCGGUUUCGCGAAAACGGCAACGGGGAAAUAUUAAAUUUCCAACCGUAUGCGCUCCGGAUCGAAAUAGGAUGUUUUUUUUUUUUUUUCUCCCUGGCGAAACGGAGGGAUCCGAGAACACACCCGCGUUUCGAGACCAUUUUUCAAAGGACCUCACGCGUGCGCAAUAAAAUUUACAAUAUUUCCUAUUCGGAACGAUACUCGUUUUUCAACACCGUAUACGAAUAGUCCUUUUCGAGAGGGACCUUCGCUUACAAAACGUUCUUCCGACUCGAAACGUUAAUAAUAUAUAAAAUAUAUCUAAAACUAUCAAUAGUAUCAAAAAAAAAAAAAAAAGGUUUAAUCAGUUUUAAUCGUUGACAUUAUAAAUAUUAUUUUGUUAAUUCCGACACGAUGCUAAUUUAAAUAGAUACUAUAUUGUUGAGAAUUUAAAAUUAAUCCAGUGCUAUAUUAUUCAGCAGUAUAAAAAAAGUUCGAAAAAGAAAUUAUAAAACGACUUAUGAAUAUUCAGAAAAAAAUGAUAUUUUCAAUAAUUUAUACUCAUGUUUGUGAAACGUUUAUGUUUGCAUAGAAUUUCGCUGGAAAUAUCACGCUAUAAUUGCACACACUUAUCAAAAACACCUUGUGCAUUUUUCCCUGCUCGUUUUGAGCAGUUCUUUCUGAACUAGAAGACGGUAUAAUUGUACGUUUACAAAGAUUUUGGUUUUAUUAUGUUUGUUUUUUUUUUUUUUACAUAAUAAAAAAACAAAGAAUAUCCAAUCUCUAAACCGUACGAACGAAAAUUUCAAGUCUUGUGAUUAAGCUCUGAUGCGUACGGGUAUUUAUUUUUUAUAAUUUUUUUUUUUUUUUUUAAUUUUCAUAUAUACUACAGCAAAACGUUUUCAGGAUUUCCAUUACGUGGUGAUACAUUGUUUUUCAUAUAAAGACUAUUGUGUUGACGACGGUGACAUUGAAAGUUACAGAUAUUAUUAUUUUGGUUUAUUUUUCUUUAGCCAUAUUGUGUGUUUGUUUAUUUUCUUUAAUUCACGACGUGUAUCAUUUUUUUUUAAUUUGUCUAGUAUAUUGUAUUAUUGCUUUCCGAGAUUUGUUCAUUUAAUCUGUUUGCAAACAAUACUUCAUGAACUACGUGUAUCGAGCAGAGUGGCUUUAUCGAAAUAAAAAUCCCACACCCGUUUUCAAAGCUCGCCAAAAACCCAAGCAGCUCUUGCUUGUUAUUAUUGUAUUCGCAUUUCGAACGUAUAAAAUCGUGCACUCAAAAGGCGAGUGCAGUUAAUACACCCAAAAUAGAACGUUGCGGCAAUUUGGACGUGUUGUUGUUUUAGCGACGUGUUACGCUAUAACAUAGAGAUUCCACACAUGUUACAAUUAAUACCGAAAAAGUCAUUAUUUCUUUCUGGUUUUAAACUCGAAACACGAAAUAAAAAGCAUACAAAUGCAAUAUUCAAACAAAACCAACUAAUAUUGCACCGGAUGAGUUGCGCUAAAUGAUUAUAAAAUGUUGAAAUUACAAACAUAAAUGUCAGAACUAGAUUCCCGUUUAAUGUACUUGUAAUUUCGGAUGUUAGCGUGUUAUUCCAGGGAGACGGGCAAGUUAAAAAAAGUAAAAUAACGGGGAAUCAUUUAACGAAAACACCGAGUGAAAAUUUAAUUAGUGUAAUGUUGUUUUUACCUUAUUACUUUAAAAAUAUAAUAUACUCGGUAUUUGUGUCUCAUGCAACUUUCAGGUUUGUUUUUCUUCGAUUGUUUUAUUUUCUAAUAUGCAAAGUAGCAUCUUUUUGGUCGAAUUAAUUGAAGUGACGGACGGUAAAUGGGAUGAUGAAAUAUCCAUCGCCGUAUUCCGUCUGAAGUAUUACCGUUUCCGGUAUUACGAUCGGUAAAGCUUACGUUUUAUUUCAUCGUUUUUUUGUAUCGUGCAUUCUGUUUUUCUAUAUUUUCAGCGACGUUCUCUCGAAAUAUAUCCGCGAAACACUACAAACGUGAACACAUAAAAUUUACACGACAAUCGUUUUUUCCCUCCAAACAAAUCGAUAUUGCUCGUAUUUCCCGUAUAUAUAUUGUCUGCACUUUGGCGGGCACUUUUAGAAUCUGAGAAGAGCGCGUGGAGACAAGCUAUAUUAGCUUUACACAAUAGGAUAUUGUGCGUUUUUUUUCGUUCGAGGCAAUAAAAACGCACGAAACAUUUCAUUGGUGGCCUUUUGUAAAUAAAUAUAUUUAGACAUUUGUACGCGGUGGAUCUAUAUGUAAUAAAAAUAAGCCACUUUCACAUAUUAUUUGCCAAUUGAUAAACUUUGAAUAAAUCGCAAAAUAUCUAAAAUAAAAUAAAAAAAAUUUCAAAAUUAAAUUCUUCAAAGCUGAACGCAAUGAAUUAUCGUUGUUUUCGAUAUUAUUUAAAUUAAAAAUACCUCUUCAGUCUAAUAUAUGAUGCCGUCUUUCCAUACCGGCAUUUUUUUUUUUUUUCAAUAUUACCGUCUUCACAUCCGAUCGGUUGACAUCCUGUUAGAUCGAAAAUAUUUCAAUUUUCAAAGUCUCCUCUGCUUCCUUUUCUUAUUUAAAAUAGGUUUAAAGGGUCUAGACUGUUUUAAAUAACCAUAAAGAGAUUAAAAUUAACGUAAUAUUUUCAAAAAGGUUACCACGUUUAUAGAAGGCUAAGAAUAAUAUUAAAUUGACUUCCCCAUUUCACUAAAUACAGGGUGCCCUAUUAAUAUAUACCUGUUCCGAUAUCUCUGAACCUAUUGACUUUUUUACUUUUAAACAAUUCCGAAAAAAUGUAUACUUUAUAAAACUCCGUAGUUCCAAAAAUAAACAAAAAAAAAAAAGGUUUCGUUUCAGUUUUUAAUCGAGUCCAAAAUUCUAACAAAAAAGUUGUUUACAAAGAGUAUAUAAUAAUUAUAAACAUACAUCAUAGUUAAGCCAAUUCAUUUCUCGUUAUGUUCAAAAUCUAAAACAGUUAAAACAAUUUUCACUAUAACCUAUAAAUGUAGUUAAUACUAGUAUAUAACGCUACUAAAAGGCUAUAUUGUAUUAACACGUUUACGAUUCUAGAUAUUUGUGUUCGAAGUCAUUAUUUAAGAGAAUUGAUACGAAUAUUUUAUAUAAAUAUUUUAAUAUUAUAAAUAAUUUUAUAUAUGGUACGUUAGAUGUUUAUUCAGUGCAGGUCAUUUAACAGCGUGAUAUAUUUCUAUUUUUUUUUUUUUGUGAGACUCUAUAAAAAAAAAAAAAAUAUGUAAUUUUAAACAGAAAACAGAAUGUCGAUGAACACUUUAUACAGGGUGAACGAAAAUUAGUGUCGGAAAAUAUACGGAGAAGCCUUACGAACUUUAAAAUCCUCCGAAUUUCCGAUCACCUUGUAAGUGAGCGUAUUUUAUGUGAGUUUUUUUUUAUUUUUUUUUCGUAAUGGAAAUAUAUAACAAUGGUAUGACCCAAUGGUAUGGAAUAAUUCGAAUAAAUAAUGUAAAAUAUGAUAAUAAUAUUCUAUCCGGACGAAAACUCGGACGGGAUAAUUAAACUGUUGACCAGUGAAACGUAGCUAAUUCGUAUACGAAAUCGUUUUCUUUCGUUUUUCAGAUUCCUUUUUUUUUUUUUGUUUUACGUUCCUUAAUGGCAGUGGUGGCGCGGUAGCGACGGCGGUUCGUGAUACUGUAAAAGUUUCCGAUAAAAUGAAUUUCGAAAAUUUGUACCAUCACACUAAACAUAGGUACCGAAUAAUUAGUAUUCAGAACGAGUACGACGAAAUACUGUCGUAUUUGUGCGCGUGCGAAACGGAUAUGUAUUAUAGAUGCCGGUUAUGACUAUAGACACGAUAGGAUAUUGAUGAACUGAAAGAAUAUCGAAAAUGACAGAUUAAAUAUUUUAAAAUAAUUAAUAAAACGAGUAAUUUUAAAGUUAUUAAAAAACGCAUGUUUACUUAUUUGAAAACGCUUUGCUACAGAAAGCCUAGUGAUUUAUAUGAAUUGGGUUAUUUUUACGUGUUGGUAUAUAAAAUAUGUGUUUGAUUUGUAUUUUGCUUAAAUUUCUUAAAAAGUAAACAAGUAAUUAAUAUUACCUAUACGCAAGAUUUUUGAAAAUAAAAUUUUAUAAUAUUCAACAAAAUUGUUACUUGUUAAUUUCUAUAAAUAUAUUGUCGUUUGAACACUAGAAAUUUAAAAUAAGAUUUUCCAAAUUUCCAAGCAUAAAAGUUAUUUUUAAAAAUAUUUAUGAUCACACAUUAAAGAUCAAAAUCGAAUUGCUUUGGGUGGCAAAAAAGUUUUUCCUGUACAGCAUGUAUUAGAACCAAAAUAUUUGUUAAAACGGCAAGCCUUAUAAAACAAGAUAAUACUAUAGAAACUGAAUUUCUUCAUAAAAUCUAAAAUGUAUUAUUUUUUAUUGUAUCUGUUGCACUGAAGUACAAUUCAAAUAUGUCUGGUUUUUCAUACAAAAACUGCUCUUUUGGUAACUAAACAACAGUAACAAUUUUCUAUAAAAUUUGAACGUAAAGGAAAAUCGUCUAAAAAGACCUAUAAAAAUUAAAAAAAAGGACAGACAUACUUCGCACGUGGUUGCAACUACUGUUUUAGGUGAUUUUAAGAGGUAAGAUACAGACGAGAAUUUAAUGUAUGUCUGUAAGCAACGAUAAAUCAUGGUUAAAAAAAAAAAUGGUACUAAACGGAGUCCAGUUAAUAGUGUUGCUUUUUAAACAAAAUACAUAUCAUGUUGUGGUAAAAUGAUGACGACAAUGUGUGAUUCCAAGCUAAUAAUGAUUAUUUAAAAAAAAAUUAAUUUAUAAAAACUUAAAAAUAACAAAAAUUUAAUAAAAAUGGUUACCAAUAACAGCCUUAUUUUUAAUCUUUCAAUAUUAUUUUAACCUAAAAAACCCGGUUUUCCUCAUUAUCUUGAAUAUAAAUGAGAAAUUCAAAAAAAGUUACCUCUUUAAUAUACCACCCAGAAAACAUUUCUUUUCAGAAAAAGUAUUCUACUUGAUAAUUGGAAUAAGUUAUCCGGUAGUAAAAAAUGUUUUCUUUAAAAAAUUAAAUAAACCUCAUUGUAAUACCAAUAUAUUCUUCGUUAAACUCAGAAUCUAAAAAAAUACUUUCAAAAACAAAUAAAGUGUAAAAAAAGGCAUAGUUAUAAAUGCGAAUACAAUACUGAAUUGAUGAAAAGUAAAAUAAGUCUUUUAAACUAAGAUAGCUUUUUAAUGGGAGGUAUGGAACACAUAUCAUCAACAUUCGAAAGCCCAAUAAUUAUAAUGCAUAAUACUUUAUGAUAUAUUCAUUCGGAUACUGAUUUUGUCAAUUUGCGUUUACGUGUUCCAGGUCCAACGAAGAGGACGUUCUAUUUUGACUUCAUAACCUUCUGUUUGCUGUCAUCGUGAUGAAUCGACACCUGCAUCAUCCGAAACGGACAUUAUACUUCUGAAAUUUUUCUUCGGGAUCAGUGAAUACACCCAGUGAAACACGUGCAAGACGUCGAGCGAAGAUCGCAGGGAAAAAGUAUAGCAAGAAAAAAAUACACCGAGACACAGACCUACGCGUCAUACACGAAGCUCAAUUUAAAAAAAAAACCAAAUCUUCCGAAGUUAUAAAAACAAAAAUACUAAUCGCACAUCACACACACACUCAUAAACAUAUACAAACAUAAAUACACACUCAUACAAACAUAAACGAAACGUUAUAGCAAUAAACGUUUUAGGGAAAUCGACGGGUUCAUAUUUCGAACGAAAAGCAAUAUUUAAAACAAUUAUCAAAAUUUAUAAUAUAACGCGUAUUUUUAGCACAGUUCCUGUUUUGUCUAACAUAAUAUAAAUUUAGUGCUCAAGUUAUAUAUUAUAUACGAUUUUUUAACAGUAGGCAUAUAGUCGCCCGAUUUGUAUUUGUAUUUUUUUUUUUUUUUUUUAUCUUUAUAAUAUAUAAUAUAUAACCGUAAAAUACUAUCGCCAUCAUGCCCCGAUGCUAUAUGGUGAAAAAACUGGGACCAAAAUCGAUGCAUCAACAUUCGUCAGCGACCGUCACGACGAUGGACCUGGACCUGGAUGGUAGUUCCAGAUCCGGGACUGAAUCCCCGCCACCGUUCACGGAUCCGACUUCGGUGAAACUCUACAAGCCGCUAGAAUCCGUCACCAUGUCCAAACAUAAAAGUAAGUGAAUCCGUUUUGUUUUUUCUAAAAAAAAAAAAAGCUUUUUGUCUCCUCGCACCCAGCAGUUUUUGUGAAUUAUAAAACAGCAUAACUGUAUUAUUGUUAUGGUCUUGUUUUUUUUUCUCCUGGCGUUUCAUACUCUCCGAGUGGUUUUCUCCACCAUUCAUAUUUUCUUCCACUUUACACGUUAUUGAGCAACUUAUAAACUCUAUUUUACACUUGGUUUAUUCAAGAUCUUGUUCCACUACAUCUAGAUGCAAAGAUAUCUAUUCUUCCAUCUGUCUAUUUUAAAACCCCUAUAAUUUUUGUCUGUUG